GUCAGAUUGGGCGCCUGGAGGCGGAAAUACGUAAGGGCAGGUUCCGGUGACCGCGGAGACGUCGAAGGCAGCCGAAUGGAGGAGGUGCCUCAAGGCUGUCCCGGAACCGGCAGCGCCCAGGCGGGCCGAGGGGCCUCAUGUCAGGGCUGCCCCAACCAGCGGCUCUGUGCCUCCGGAGCCGGCGCCGCUCCCGACCCAGCCAUAGAAGAAAUCAAAGAAAAAAUGAAGACCGUGAAACACAAAAUCUUGGUGUUGUCUGGGAAAGGUGGUGUUGGAAAAAGCACGUUCAGUGCCCACCUUGCCCACGGCCUAGCAGAGGAUGAAAACACACAGGUCGCUCUUCUGGACAUUGAUAUAUGUGGGCCAUCAAUUCCCAAGAUAAUGGGACUGGAAGGAGAACAGGUUCACCAGAGUGGCUCGGGCUGGUCUCCGGUGUUCGUGGAAGACAAUCUGGGGGUGAUGUCAGUGGGUUUCCUGCUCAGCAGUCCUGACGACGCCGUUAUCUGGAGGGGACCAAAGAAAAAUGGCAUGAUCAAGCAGUUCCUUCGUGACGUGGACUGGGGAGAGGUGGACUACCUCAUCGUGGAUACCCCGCCUGGCACGUCGGACGAACACCUGUCGGCCGUCCAGUACCUGUCGGCGGCACACAUCGAUGGGGCUGUGAUAAUCACCACCCCUCAGGAGGUGUCCCUCCAGGAUGUCCGGAAAGAGAUCAACUUCUGCCACAAGGUGAAGCUGCCCAUCAUCGGAGUGGUGGAGAACAUGAGUGUCUUCAUCUGCCCGAAGUGCAAGAAAGAAUCUCAGAUAUUCCCACCAACAACAGGGGGUGCAGAGGUCAUGUGCCAGGAUCUGAAGAUCCCGCUCCUCGGAAAAGUGCCUCUGGAUCCACACAUAGGUAAGAGUUGCGACAAAGGACAGUCUUUUUUGAUGGACGCACCGGAUUCUCCAGCCACUUUGGCCUACAGAAGUAUCAUUCAAAGAAUUCAGGAGUUCUGUGGUCACCAUCAGCCAAAAGAAGAGCACUUCCUCAGUUCCUGAAACACGAGAGCAUUUGAGACGCAAGCUGCACGUGCAACUCAGCCUGAGCAGCCUGGGGACAACGUGGGGGUCUCGGGCAGAAAGGGACCAGAUUCUGAGCACAGGUAGAACUCAGAUGGAGAAAGCCACGGUGCAAACCAGGUGGCAGAUGGCAAUGAAAGCACCAGCCAGCGCUGAGAGGGAGAGGCAGAAGGGACGGGCCGCCUCACCCAGGACUGCCAGACCCGCUGUUUGCAUGAGAAGCCAGAAAUUCAGAGUUGCGUCAGGAAGAUGUUUUUACGUGACAGUGACUAAUAAUGCUAAUAAAAUAGCGCAGGCUGUGGUUCAUGCUGGUUCACAAGCCUCCACCUGGCAACCCCUCGGGUGCUCAGAGAGGUAGCCAGCAGACCUGGAGCUGCAUCGGGGAGGGACCCGCACGUCCUCCCGAGGAAGGACCGUGCAGGGAAAGCAAACUGGACUCCUAGGGAAUUGUGCGGUUCUGACUCUCAAGGGCACAGGACGGACUCGGAAGCAAGAUUUAUAGUGACCUUUGCAUCUACUCCUGAUGUUCCAAACGAAGAAGGAGCAGUGCCAAAACCCCAGCUAUCUGCCACAACGCUUCUCACCUGUGCCUUUCAGAUGCUGCGCUCUCCAGGCAGCCUUGCACAAGCGAGCCUGGGACAUGGACCCGGCCCUGAAGAGUCAGACAUGAUCCCGUACACCCUCCACAUCUGGAAUGUUCCCGAAGAUUAUACCCUUGGGGUCUCUCAUACCCUCGUUUUUAAAUAAAUGUUUGCUAUU